rnacentral:rRNA from 1 species
CUUUACUGCAGGCUGAUAUUGGCUUUAGACAGUUCUUGUGUAGGAUAGGUGGGAGGCGAUGAUCUGGGCACGCCAGUGUUCAGUUAGCCGACGUUGAAAUACCACCCUGGGCCUGUUUGAAGUCUAACACCAGUCCGUGAAUCCGGAUGGUGAACAGUUUCAGUUGGGCAGUUUGACUGGGGCGGUCUCCUCCCAAAGAGUAACGGAGGAGUUCAAAGGUACACUCAGCCUGGUUGGCAAUCAGGCGAAGAGCGUAAGGGUAGAAGUGUGCUUGACUGCGAGACUCAUAAGUCGAGCAGAAACGAAAGUUGGACCUAGUGAUCCGGCGGUUCCGAAUGGAAGGGCCGUCGCUCAACAGAUAAAAGGUA